rnacentral:rRNA from 1 species
GACAGAGGGUGCAAACGUUGUUCGGAAUUACUGGGCGUAAAGCGUGUGUAGGCGGCUAGGUAAGUCGGAUGUGAAAGCCCCGGGCUCAACUCGGGAAGUGCACUCGAUACUGCUUAGCUCGAGUACCGGAGAGGUUGGUGGAAUUCUCGGUGUAGAGGUGAAAUUCGUAGAUAUCGAGAGGAACACCGGUGGCGAAGGCAGUGUCCUGGCUGGCAACUGACGCUGAGGCGCGAAAGCUAGGGGAGCGAACAGG